GUGUGGAUUCAUGACUUGUAAACUUCUUCUAAUUCAUAGCUUAACCAGUUAUAUUUUUCUUUUAUUCCAAGGUAACAGUACAGUUCUGGUUGGCGGAGAUGGAACUAGUGGGGCUGAACUUGGUCCCCUCACUAGUCAGAGUGGAGGUACAGCUGUUUCAGUUCCUGUUGGACCAACCACAGUUCACAUAGUCAACCAGAAUCCUCUAUCUUCUGGCUCCGGUGAUUUGAUUCUCUCUGCUGACCAGUACGAAGGCGGCCGAGGGCCAUCUGUAGUGACCAGUGACGCGGCUAAUUAUGUCAGCUCAGAUCAUGGUAACUCAACUCUCCUCUACUUAACAGCAAAUUUUCAGUGAAAAAAAUUUACUGCACAUAAUUUGAAUUGCACCAUGAAUGUGUUUAAAAAGAACGAAGAAAAGUUUCUAUGAUAUUGUGCAUUACAGAGUAUGUCAGAGCCAUUUUGUAUUAAUACAACACACUGAUGGGAUUUUGAGGUGGUUGAUGAAAUCUAAACUCUAUCAUUGGUAACAACGGAUAUUUAGUAUUGAAUGCUCAUAAUACUGUACAGCAGGAGUCGGCAACUCCUGGCAUGCGUGCCAAAGUUGGCAUGUGAGAGGGUUGACCUUGGCACGCCAAGUGAUUUUAAAAACUUAUAACAAAAUAAAAAAUAAGAGCACCAUUUGAAAUAAACAAACUAUGACAUGAGCUAGAGUUAGAACUCACGCGUCCAGUACUCGUCUGCCCAGCUGUAGCCUGUGUUGCGUGAGAUCCGGUGUUGCCAUUUUAGCUACACAAAAUAGGUAGCUUGCCUUUUGUUCUUUUUCUUGGAUAUUUUCUGUAUCUAAGUAGUUGGAGUAUAAUUAUAUGUUUUAUUAUUUUGAAUAUGUAUUUACAUCACUUUUAUUAAAAUUACACAAUCAUC